rnacentral:miRNA from 1 species
CACAGUGGUCUCUGGGGUUAUG